GACUACUUUCCCCUCUCCUCGCGCAUCUCUUUCUUCCCCGUAGCUCGCUCCCCAUGUUGUUUCCGCCAUGGCCGAAGCUCUGCGUCCGUGCCCGCGUGGCCCAGCCACCUGCAGCCAAACCCUGGAGCCACCUGCACGAGCCCCGUGCGCGGCCGACCAUGCGCCUCCCGCGUGCUUGUGCUCCGCCUUGCCGCUAGUUGCUUCUGCUGCAUUGCUGCUUUAGCCGCCGCCGUCGCCUACAGCUUGUCGUGCCUGCCAGCGCCCAGCCGCAUCGUUGGUCGCCCCACCGCCCCUAGCUGCUUCCCGCGCCUGGAGCUUGCUCCUUGCGCGCGCCGCUGGCGCCGUGGCCGUGCUCACCCCCCCGCACCCACUGUCGUCGCUCCCGCCGGCUCCCUGCGUCCCACCUCUGCCCGCUCCUCCUGUCGCCCCCAGCCGCGCCCCACCGCUUGCAGCGGCGUCCGCCUCCGGCCGGCGGUGCCCACCCCGACCGCCACUGCCCCGCCGCUGCUGUUGGCUCAAGCCGAGGCCGCCAGCACCCCCCUCUGCCACUUCUGCCCUCCGCCGUGGCCUCUGGCCACCGGAGUUAACCCGCCGGCCUAAUUGGCCAUUAAGGCCCUAACCCACCUACUAACCCCCCACUAACAUACGGCCCCCAAGUGUUUAAUUAAAAUAAAUAACCAUGUUAGUUUAGUCACUGGGUAUGACAUGUGGGACCCCCCAUUAAUUAAAUCCUUUUAACUAAAAGCUAUUAACUAGCAGUCUAUGACUGGUGGGCCCCGACGCCCCUUUGACUGGGACCCAACCUUUUUUUAGUCCCAAUUGCGAGUCCACCCUUGACUUGCCAAUGGAGUUCGACCUUUUUUGUCCCAGUUGCAAGUCCACCAUCGGCAGCGAAUAAACCGCAUAUGAGCCGACCCAAAUAGCUAGGAUAAGUUUUCUGUUUUGUUCUGUUUUCUUCAUGUGUUUUUUGUUUUUUAUUUUUUAUUUUUCUUCAUUGGUUUUUUCUGUCUUUUUAAUUUUUCUAUUUUUCAAAAUUUGAUCUCAUUUUUUCGUUUUUACUGUUUUAAUAAAUUCACAAGUUUUAAUAAAUGUUCCAAAAUUCAUAAAUUUGUUCAUUUUUCUAUAAUUGUUCAUGUUUAUCAUUUUUAAUGAAAAUGUGCUCAUUUCUUGUUCUCUUCUUAUUUAUCUAUUUUCUCUAUUUGGUUUUCUCGUCUUUUUGUUUUUUCCUGUUUGCUUUUUGUCGCGGUAUAUCCACGACCACCUAUGGGACCAGGAGGCCCCUUGCUGGUUCAGCAGGGGGACGUCACGUUGCGCAAAGAGUAGACCAGCGCAUGGCAGCACGACAGAGAGCACACAAGCAAUUUACCCAGGUUGCUUCUCUCGUUACCUUCGGUUUCGUUCCGGAGUUGUGAGGAUUCG